rnacentral:rRNA from 1 species
AUUGAACGCUGGCGGCAUGCCUAACACAUGCAAGUCGAACGGAAAGAGGCGUAGGGUGCUCGUCUGGUGGUGGAGGCGGGAGGGAGAGUACGGAACGGGUCACCUACCUGUGGGUAACGGGGAGAAUGCGGAGCUCAUAGCUCAUACCGUCUAAUGUUUAAAACCGCAUGGCUCAAAGGUGAACGACGGUCUAGCUGUCGCUUACAGAUGGAGCCGCGGCGCAUUAGCUAGUUGGUCAGGUAACCGCUUACCAAGGCAACGAUGUGUAGCAGACCUGAGAGGGUGAUCGGCCACACUGGAACUGAGACACGGUCCAGACUCCUACGGGAGGCAGCAGUAGGGAAUCUUCCGCAAUGGGCGCAAGCCUGACCCAGCAACGCCGCGUGAGUGAUGAAGGUCUUCGGAUCGUAAAAUUCUGUUAUUAGGGAAGAACAGAUUUGUAAUAAUCUGGGCACAUCUUGACGGUACCUAAACAGAAAGCCACGGCUAACUACGUG